UUGUAAUUUUACAUUCUCUAGCAGCUAAACUCCCAACAACUGAUGAGCCUGGUUUUGCCCCUUUCCUUCUUUAAUGCCAGUUUAAAGCUCUGCUCUCUGUCCUUCUGACAAUCCUCAGUGCUCACCUCAUAGGAAUUGAAGAGAGAACAUACCUGUCUGUCUGUGGAAGAGUCUACAGGUACUGGUGCUGGGGCAGGCCUGUGUCUCCACCACGUUGUCUACAACUGCAUGUGAAACAGACAAAAAUCAAACUUCUCACUGAGGAAGAGUUUGGAACCAAGAAUCAAGCACAACCUGUUCUCUUGCUAAACACAGAGAGGAUUGCAGCUCAUGAAAACUCUCCAACCCAGCUUGAAGCCAGCAGCCUCAGAGUUCUUGUAAAGGAUGGGAAGGUUCACACCAGAUCUCCAUGGGCUCCUCAGCCUUCUGUUGCCAUCACUGCACUGUUAUCAGUACCCAGCAGGCCAGAUGACAGCUACUCCUGGUGCUUGCUCAAGUCACAUCACACCUCCAGGCUGCAGUAUAGACACACCCUCUGUCUCAGUCUUACUCUGCAUGAGUUCUCCCAGUUUUAAUAAAUUUGCAGUGAAAUAUUAAACACUGGCAUAUACAUUUUUUUUGGCAAAAAGAAGCAAAAGUUGGAAUCUGAAUUUAAAACUGUAAUGCAGCAAGUGGACAUGAAGAUUUAUGGACUUAACAAACACAUACAACUUUUGAGAAAUGCCUAGCAGACAUCAUGCUUUUAAAAUGUCACAGUUCAUGUAGUUGUCACUUCAAACACUGAGGAAGCUGGCACUCCCCAAGUGCCAGCAAGCUCUGACUGGACAGUAAUAAGACUCAGACGUCUAAAAUUAAAAACUGUCCCAGAAAAUGUAUAACUUCUUAAAGACCUCAUUCCGCAUGUUUUAUAGCACACUCCACUUUGCAAAGAAAUGGUUGUCUGAUCAGCUAAAUAAAAAUGAGAUGUUUCCACUAUACCUUCAGCAGAGGAAACAGAGCUGUUUGUAAUGGAACAGCUUCCAUGGGCAGUGUUUUGAGCACUACUGAUUGAAAAAUGUCUUCUCCUUUGAGGUUUGUUUGCCUUUCUCUGGCAGAUGUCUAAUCAAUGAUUCUGAGAUGUGUUUUACACUAUGACCCUUCUGAACAUCGCUGAUGAAUAGGAUGUAUUAUUUUGCUUCUGCAGUUAUUAAAAGCCUCAUUUCAGUUCAC